rnacentral:rRNA from 1 species
UACGGGGGGGGCAAGCGUUGUUCGGAAUUACUGGGCGUAAAGCGCACGUAGGCGGCUUGUUAAGUCAGGGGUGAAAUCCUGGAGCUCAACUCCAGAACUGCCUUUGAUACUGGCGAGCUUGAGUCCGGGAGAGGUGAGUGGAACUGCGAGUGUAGAGGUGAAAUUCGUAGAUAUUCGCAAGAACACCAGUGGCGAAGGCGGCUCACUGGCCCGGUACUGACGCUGAGGUGCGAAAGCGUGGGGAGCAAACAGG